rnacentral:rRNA from 1 species
GAAGGGUGCAAGCGUUACUCGGAAUUACUGGGCGUAAAGCGUGCGUAGGCGGUUUGUUAAGUCCGUUGUGAAAGCCCUGGGCUCAACCUGGGAAUUGCAGUGGAUACUGGCGAGCUAGAGUGCGGUAGAGGAUGGUGGAAUUCCCGGUGUAGCGGUGAAAUGCGUAGAGAUCGGGAGGAACACCCGUGGCGAAGGCGGCCAUCUGGACCAGCACUGACGCUGAGGCACGAAAGCGUGGGGAGCAAACAGGAUUAGAUACCCUGGUAGUCCACGCCCUAAACGAUGCGAACUGGACGUUGGGUGGACUUAGCCACUCAGUGUCGAAGCUAACGCGUUAAGUUCGCCGCCUGGGGAGUACGGUCGCAAGACUG